rnacentral:miRNA from 1 species
AAGGAAGGAAGGAAGGAAGGAAGGAAGGAAGAUAAUGCUAAUCCUAUCUUUGCUUCUUCCUUCCUUCCUUCCUUCCUUCCUUCCUUCCUUCCUUCCU